rnacentral:rRNA from 1 species
UACAUGGGGUGCAAACGUUGCUCGGAAUUAUUGGGCGUAAAGCGCACGUAGGCGGUCUGUUAUGUCGGAUGUGAAAGCCCUCGGCUCAACUGGGGAGGGUCACGCGAUACUGGUCGACUCGAAGGCAGGAGAGGGUAGUGGAAUUCCCGGUGUAGUGGUGAAAUGCGUAGAUAUCGAGAGGAACACCAGUGGCGAAGGCGAGUCUCUGGACAGUUCCUGACGCUGAGGCACGAAGGCCAGGGGAGCAAACGGG